rnacentral:rRNA from 1 species
AACGAACGCUGGCGACAUGCCUAACACAUGCAAGUCGAACGAGACCUUCGGGUCUAGUGGCGCACGGGUGCGUAACGCGUGGGAAUCUGCCCUUAGGUUCAGAAUAACUUCGGGAAACUGAAGCUAAUACCGGAUGAUGACGUAAGUCCAAAGAUUUAUCGCCUAAGGAUGAGCCCGCGUUGGAUUAGCUAGUUGGUGAGGUAAAGGCUCACCAAGGCGACGAUCCAUAGCUGGUCUGAGAGGAUGAUCAGCCACACUGGGACUGAGACACGGCCCAGACUCCUACGGGAGGCAGCAGUGGGGAAUAUUGGACAAUGGGCGAAAGCCUGAUCCAGCAAUGCCGCGUGAGUGAUGAAGGCCUUAGGGUUGUAAAGCUCUUUACCCGGGAUGAUAAUGACAGUACCGGGAGAAUAAGCUCGGCUAACNCCGUGCCAGCAGCCGCGGUAAUCGU